UUGUCACAGCCCGUCCCGGAAUUUUAAUUCCGAGGACAUGAAAAGACGAAAAUGCCCUUAAACGGGACUAAGGGGCGAAAAUUUAACAAUUUGGAUUGAGUUGGACACGUGGGAUCCCCACAUCCCUCAAAACCUUCCCCAAUUCCCGUACCUUGUCUCUCUAUCUCUCUUCCCUCACGACUCUCUCUCACUCUCAGUUCUCUCUCUUCCUCUCCGACGCUCAACCUCACCCAAAACCACCUAAAACAUAAACAAACGUCCAAGAUAAGACCACAUUUGGACUCCUGGAACUUCCACGAUCACGUAGACACCAAUUUCAGGUAAGUUUUUGCUUCGAAAAACCCUAGUUUCAAAGUUCCCGUGAAAUGGUACUGUUCAUGAUCUUUUAAAUGGUUACGAUUUAGGCUAAAACAAGAUCACAGCGAGCUUAGUGAGGUCCCAAGGAAGCUCGGAGUGCUUCGUUGGAAGUUUUUGGACGUAAAAACACGGAGAUCGACAAGUUCAAAGUUUGGCCGGAGCUUUCGAGGCAUUUUCCGGCGAAUCUCCGGCGAUUUAGGAGUCGAGGUAGGUAUCAAUCUCUUCGUCUCGUCAAGUACUACAACUUUCCUUUUUUUUCACUCAAUUUCGUUGAGUAUUGAAGAAGUUAUACUCAUUUGAAAAAUACCCAGUUUCCGGCGAACUCCGAGGCUUUCGAGGAAAUUUCGUUGAUCAUAAGAUGGUUUCUGGACUUGUUAUGGUCCUUAUAAAGUUUGGUGAUGCUAUGUGGAUACUCAUGCGGUUUUAUGAGUUGAUGGAUGAAGUAUUCCAAUAAUGCCUUGAUAAUUGAUAUCAUUUUCAUUGAAGAUAUUCUGGCAUAUUCUGAGCCAGAGCAGAGCAUGUAAACGUAUUAAGUCGGUAGAACAAAGAUUGGAAGAAUGUCGAUUGUAUGCUAAGUUUAGCAAAUGCGAAUGUUGGAUGAAUCAAGCAGCAUUUCUGGGAUAUGUUAUAUAUUCUUAAGGUAUUCAAGUGAAUCCUUAAAAGGUAAUAGAAAUUAAAAUUUGGAACAACCACGAGUCGUAAUUGAGAUUUGGAAUUUCUUAGCUUACCAGGCUAUCUUGGAUGGUUGUGAAAGAUUUUUCAGUCAUUGCUUUGUCAUUGACGAGACUGUUGAGAAAAGAGGUUAGGUAUGAGUGGGAAGGAAUUGUAAGCAAAGGAUUCAACAACUGAAGUAUUUCCUCACUCAUGCACGUAUUUUUGGUAUUCCCAGAGAAUAGUGGUAAUCAUAAAUUUUUAGUGAUGUUUCUUGAAUGGUAUUGGAGGCAUGUUGAUGCAAAUGUUAGGGUGAUUGCAUACGUUUCACGAUAAAUGGAAUCUCAUAAGAUGAAUUACCCUACUGGUGAUUUGGAAGUCACGAUUACCAUUCUUGCUGUGAAGUUAUGGAGACAUUAUAUUUUAGUGGGAAUGCAAGAUUUUUUUUUACGAAUCCAAAAAGUCUUCAAUAUCCAUUACUUGGAAGGAAUUUGAUAUGAGGCAGCGAAAGUGAAUUGUAUUGCUUAAUGAACAUGAUUGUACGAUCAGGGUGAUCGUAAAGUUUGUUCUAGCUGAAGCACUUGGUGAGAAGACUACAGUAAGAUUAAUAUCUGGCACGUUUGCCAAGAGUAUCAUUUUAUGGAUUGAAAACCAACGGAAGAAAAAUUAAGAAUGGAAGAUCGAGAAGAAGUUAUACUUGUUAAGUAACAAGUUAGUACAUUUACCCCAGUGUUGAGUAACAACCUUUCCCAGACAGUGCAACACUACUUAUUUGUUUUAUGGAAAAGAGAAUUGGAUUACGGAACUGCUAAGUUUCUUAAGUAUGUUGGUUGUGCAGUUUCCGAAGUAACGCCAUAAGGACCAUGAAAUGUGUCACGUGAGUCGGUUUUUGAUGACUUGUGAAUGGAAUGUUUCUGGGUAGAGAAAGAUUCGAUCGAGAAAGAGUUUUAGUAGACCCUGAGACUAUGGAUGAGUCUCCUCAAAGUAUUCAGGUGAUUAAGUUAACCUGAAGUAACCAGGAAUGGCAAAAGAGAUCAACAGAUGGAUAUGCCACUAAUCGAGUGUGUAAGGUAAAUGGUUUGAUAUUUUUGGAAAAUUCACCACGAACAGAAAUGAAGAGAAUUGGAAAAGAGACAAGAUAAGAUUUAAACACAUCAGACCGUUUUGAUCAUUAAAAGAAUCGAUGAAGCUGCAUACAAGUUUGUGAUGCCUUCAGAAUUGGCUAAGGCACAUAAUGUAUUUUGUGUUCGAUGCGUUGUCACUAGGUGGCAGAUUUGUCACAUGGGAUUAUGGUGUAACUAUUGAGAAUUAAAUUGGAUUCGACUUGAUAAGGAACCAAGGACGACUUUGGAUUGGAAAAAGAAGGUCCUGAGAAUUAAGAAGACAGUAAGUAAGUAGUAAAAGCUUUGUGAAGGAAAUCAUUCAGUAGAAAAAGUAUGUGGGAGAAAGAGAAUCGGAUGAGAAAGAUUUACCCGAAGCUAUUGUUGGAGUAUGGUUGAUUUAGUUGGUUGCUGGAAUUUCGGGGACGAAAUUCUAUAAGGAGGAAAGAUUGUCACAGCCCGUCCCGGAAUUUUAAUUCCGAGGACAUGAAAAGACGAAAAUGCCCUUAAACGGGACUAAGGGGCGAAAAUUUAACAAUUUGGAUUGAGUUGGACACGUGGGAUCCCCACAUCCCUCAAAACCUUCCCCAAUUCCCGUACCUUGUCUCUCUAUCUCUCUUCCCUCACGACUCUCUCUCACUCUCAGUUCUCUCUCUUCCUCUCCGACGCUCAACCUCACCCAAAACCACCUAAAACAUAAACAAACGUCCAAGAUAAGACCACAUUUGGACUCCUGGAACUUCCACGAUCACGUAGACACCAAUUUCAGGUAAGUUUUGCUUCGAAAAACCCUAGUUUCAAAGUUCCCGUGAAAUGGUACUGUUCAUGAUCUUUUAAAUGGUUACGAUUU
rnacentral:lncRNA from 1 species